rnacentral:rRNA from 1 species
GAUGAACGCUAGCUACAGGCUUAACACAUGCAAGUCGAGGGGCAGAGCUGCCGCCGGUCCCAGUACUAGCAAUAGAUUGCUGGCGACCGGCGCACGGGUGAGUAACACGUAUCCAACCUGCCGAUAACUCGGGGAUAGCCUUUCGAAAGAAAGAUUAAUACCCGAUGGUAUAAUCAGACCGCAUGGUUUGAUUAUUAAAGAAUUUCGGUUAUCGAUGGGGAUGCGUUCCAUUAGGCAGUUGGUGAGGUAACGGCUCACCAAACCUUCGAUGGAUAGGGGUUCUGAGAGGAAGGUCCCCCACAUUGGAACUGAGACACGGUCCAAACUCCUACGGGAGGCAGCAGUGAGGAAUAUUGGUCAAUGGACGCGAGUCUGAACCAGCCAAGUAGCGUGAAGGAUGACUGCCCUAUGGGUUGUAAACUUCUUUUAUAUGGGAAUAAAGUUUUCCACGUGUGGAAUUUUGUAUGUACCAUAUGAAUAAGGAUCGGCUAACUCCGUGCCAGCAGCCGCGGUAAUACGGAGGAUCCGAGCGUUAUCCGGAUUUAUUGGGUUUAAAGGGAGCGUAGGUGGACAGUUAAGUCAGUUGUGAAAGUUUGCGGCUCAACCGUAAAAUUGCAGUUGAUACUGGCUGUCUUGAGUACAGUAGAGGUGGGCGGAAUUCGUGGUGUAGCGGUGAAAUGCUUAGAUAUCACGAAGAACUCCGAUUGCGAAGGCAGCUCACUGGACUGCAACUGACACUGAUGCUCGAAAGUGUGGGUAUCAAACAGGAUUAGAUACCCUGGUAGUCCACACAGUAAACGAUGAAUACUCGCUGUUUGCGAUAUACAGUAAGCGGCCAAGCGAAAGCAUUAAGUAUUCCACCUGGGGAGUACGCCGGCAACGGUGAAACUCAAAGGAAUUGACGGGGGCCCGCACAAGCGGAGGAACAUGUGGUUUAAUUCGAUGAUACGCGAGGAACCUUACCCGGGCUUAAAUUGCAUUUGAAUAAUCUGGAAACAGGUUAGCCGCAAGGCAAAUGUGAAGGUGCUGCAUGGUUGUCGUCAGCUCGUGCCGUGAGGUGUCGGCUUAAGUGCCAUAACGAGCGCAACCCUUAUCUUUAGUUACUAACAGGUCAUGCUGAGGACUCUAGAGAGACUGCCGUCGUAAGAUGUGAGGAAGGUGGGGAUGACGUCAAAUCAGCACGGCCCUUACGUCCGGGGCUACACACGUGUUACAAUGGGGGGUACAGAAGGCAGCUACCUGGUGACAGGAUGCUAAUCCCAAAAGCCUCUCUCAGUUCGGAUCGAAGUCUGCAACCCGACUUCGUGAAGCUGGAUUCGCUAGUAAUCGCGCAUCAGCCAUGGCGCGGUGAAUACGUUCCCGGGCCU